AACGAACGCUGGCGGCAUGCCUAACACAUGCAAGUCGAACGAGACCUUCGGGUCUAGUGGCGCACGGGUGCGUAACGCGUGGGAACCUGCCCUUAGGUUCGGAAUAACUCCCCGAAAGGGGUGCUAAUACCGGAUAAUGUCUUCGGACCAAAGAUUUAUCGCCUUUGGAUGGGCCCGCGUUGGAUUCACUAGUUGGUAGGGUAAAAGCCUACCAAGGCGACGAUCCAUAGCUGGUCUGAGAGGAUGAUCAGCCACACUGGGACUGAGACACGGCCCAGACUCCUACGGGAGGCAGCAGUGGGGAAUAUUGGACAAUGGGCGAAAGCCUGAUCCAGCAAUGCCGCGUGAGUGAUGAAGGCCUUAGGGUUGUAAAGCUCUUUUACCCGGGAUGAUAAUGACAGUACCGGGAGAAUAAGCUCCGGCUAACUCCGUG
rnacentral:rRNA from 1 species